AUUGAACGCUGGCGGCGUGCUUAACACAUGCAAGUCGAACGGUGAACGAGGGAGCUUGCUCCCUCCGGAUCAGUGGCGAACGGGUGAGUAACACGUGAGCAAUCUGCCCUGGACUCUGGGAUAAGCGUUGGAAACGACGUCUAAUACCGGAUACGAGGCGUGGGGGCAUCCCCAACGCCUGGAAAGAACUUCGGUCCAGGAUGAGCUCGCGGCCUAUCAGCUAGUUGGUGAGGUAACGGCUCACCAAGGCGACGACGGGUAGCCGGCCUGGGAGGGUGACCGGCCACACUGGGACUGAGACACGGCCCAGACUCCUACGGGAGGCAGCAGUGGGGAAUAUUGCACAAUGGGCGCAAGCCUGAUGCAGCAACGCCGCGUGAGGGACGACGGCCUUCGGGUUGUAAACCUCUUUUAGCAGGGAAGAAGCGAAAGUGACGGUACCUGCAGAAAAAGCACCGGCUAACUACGUGCCAGCCGCCGCCGUAA
rnacentral:rRNA from 1 species